CAGUCGCCACGGUAAUACGUAGGUCCCGAGCGUUGUCCGGAUUUAUUGGGCGUAAAGGGAGCGCAGGCGGUUUAGUAAGUCUGAAGUUAAAGGCAUUGGCUCAACCAAUGUAUGCUUUGGAAACUGUUAGACUUGAGUGCAGAAGGGGAGAGUGGAAUUCCAUGUGUAGCGGUGAAAUGCGUAGAUAUAUGGAGGAACACCGGUGGCGAAAGCGGCUCUCUGGUCUGUCACUGACGCUGAGGCUCGAAAGCGUGGGGAGCAAACAGGAUUAGAUACCCGAGUAGUCCCUGUCUCUUAUACA
rnacentral:rRNA from 1 species